GACGAACGCUGGCGGCGUGCUUAACACAUGCAAGUCGAACGGAAAGGCCCUGCUUUUGUGGGGUGCUCGAGUGGCGAACGGGUGAGUAACACGUGAGUAACCUGCCCUUGACUUUGGGAUAACUUCAGGAAACUGGGGCUAAUACCGGAUAGGAGCUCCUGCUGCAUGGUGGGGGUUGGAAAGUUUCGGCGGUUGGGGAUGGACUCGCGGCUUAUCAGCUUGUUGGUGGGGUAGUGGCUUACCAAGGCUUUGACGGGUAGCCGGCCUGGGAGGGUGACCGGCCACAUUGGGACUGAGAUACGGACCAGACUCCUACGGGAGGCAGCAGUGGGGAAUAUUGCACAAUGGGCGGAAGCCUGAUGCAGCAACGCCGCGUGCGGGAUGACGGCCUUCGGGUUGUAAACAGCUUUCGCCUGUGACGAAGCGUGAGUGACGGCAAUGGGUAAAGAAGCACCGGCUAACUACGUG
rnacentral:rRNA from 1 species